CCUACGGGUGGCAGCAGUAGGGAAUCUUCCACAAUGGGCGAAAGCCUGAUGGAGCAACGCCGCGUGGGUGAAGAAGGUCUUCGGAUCGUAAAACCCUGUUGUUAGAGAAGAAAGAGCGUGAGAGUAACUGUCCACGUUUCGACGGUAUCUAACCAGAAAGCCACGGCUAACUACGUGCCAGCAGCCGCGGUAAUACGUAGGUGGCAAGCGUUAUCCGGAUUUAUUGGGCGUAAAGGGAACGCAGGCGGUCUUUUAAGUCUGAUGUGAAAGCCUUCGGCUUAACCGGAGUAGUGCAUUGGAAACUGGGAGACGUGAGUGCAGAAGAGGAGAGAGGAAUGCCAUGUGUAGCGGUGAAAUGCGUAGAUAUAUGGAAGAACACCAGUGGCGAAGGCGGCUCUCUGGUCUGUAACUGACGCUGAGGUUCGAAAGCGUGGGUAGCAAACAGGAUUAGAUACCCGAGUAGUC
rnacentral:rRNA from 1 species